AUGCACUGCCCACUCAGCCUUUGCUGUUGCUUCAAACAAGCAGCUCUAAUGCCUUCCAUCAAAUCACUGCUGAGCCAGUUGAUCGAUUUCAGUCGAGUGGGACAGAAGGAGAGAGCUGAGAUACGAAGUUUAGGAAGAACACAGGUUCUCCAGUGUGUCCAAGGGGCCUGGAGGAGUGCUUUUACCAGUGAAGGUGAUCACAAAGCCAGGAGCCAGCUCACCAGCAGGACUUUGCAGCAGCCUCAGCAGAGGCUGUUGGCUGCCCCAGUGGAGGGGUUCAUGCAGGAUCCUUUGGGAACCUGCACCUCGAGGGCACGGGAGGUGCCACCAAUGGCACAGUGAGGUCUUUGUCAGGGCAUUUACACUGAGAUAUUGCUCAGGAGCAGCUCCUGCUUGGGUCUCUGCCAUCUAAUAUUCUUUACAUGAGGCCCAGAGAAC
rnacentral:lncRNA from 1 species